GAAAUAAACUCAUACAUCCACAGAAACAACACGGGCAGUGAUCAGAUGGAAUUAAUUCCUCAAAUAUAUUAUACCCAUGUCAAGUUUUAGAAAAACUGAGGGCUCAAGACUGGCAAGCUGUGAGAUUAAGGCUAUGAAAAUGUUAUAUCCCUGGAAAACUGGAAAAAAACAAGAGAAACAUGAUGUCCUCACUGUCUGAAAGGAUUUUGCCACUUACAAAGCUGGCUCUGUCAAGCGGAGAUUGGGAUGAAUGGACCCUUCUCAGAAGAGAUGCAGUUUUGGAACUACGAUGACCAACUCACUGCUACAGACCAAAAAAACUUGAAUUCAACCACUGGCCACUUUCCAGUCAGCUCUUCUAGGCUUCUACAUUUUUUAGUAAGCUUGGGGGUGCCAGGAUGGCCUGAAGGAGUUCAGCAUUUUUCUUUCCAUUCUGUUUAAUGUUUCCUUUUCGGACUGAAAUAUAAUUGGUUCAGAGUGACAGAAAUUUGGGGAAAAAAACUGUGUGGGAGGAAGCACUCUCCUCAUCUUUAAAGGAUAUUGUCCCUUCUCUAGGGUGGAGAUGUGGAAGACAGGCAGAUAGCAGGCACUAGGUGUUCACAGCUGUUCCUUUGCCUACUCUAUACUGUCACAUGUCUUGUCUGGGUUUUGGUGAUGAUUCGGGUAUUAAUUGAAUACAAAGGUUUUGCUGUUAAUCUGCUUAUUUUUUAUGGGUCUGUGAUAGCUAAAGACAGAAAUUGAAAUAUGAGUAUACAGAUAUAUAUGUUUGUAAAAUUUCUUCCAAGUUUUAGUCAUCAAAACCCCUGAACGUAUCGAUGCCUUAAUGGCAGUGCCUACGCUAUUCUGUUACAGCAUCCUUGGCAGCUGUCUUGAGGACCACUUUCCUGUCCAUAUACACUCUCUAGCCCUGUGAGGCCCUGCCAGGACUCCCUGAAAGUGUGUCAGCUGGGCACCAAGGCAGAUCCUGGGGCAGCGUGUGGCCUCGUGGAGGUCUAUCUUCCAGAGCUCUUCCACCUAAAGUGUUCCCCCAGACCAGGUGUCAAGGCCUGCACUGCUACAGGCAGUGCUGCAUGUGCUCCAUAAACUGAUACACCUGUCCUCCUAUGCAAGGUUCUGCUUUUUUAUUAGCUGGAUGUCACUGUCCCCUUAUUUAUAAUAAGAUCUGGGUUAUAGAAAGGUCACUGAGCUGAACUAUCUCACCUGAGUGGGAGCCAGGAGCUGGGAGAGAGUCCAUAUGCUAUUUUUCGUAGUGGAAGGAAGGCCAGUUUUGGACAAGUCAAGCAGAGCACAGUGUCCAGCCCAGGAAGAAAUGAGAACCUUGUUGCCUGCUUUCUCCAAGGAAUCUACAGAGAUGGAGGAUAUGGAUCAGUGGUGCAUUUGCUAAAUGCAGCGCAGGAUCAAGGCAUGCCAAUUCUGCCUGCCAAGAUGGACAAGGAUCACUUCAGCUGGCCUUAAAGAAUACCUCCUGAAAGAAGGAUGGGAGAAUGAAGGGUUAUGGCUAGAAAUUAUAAUGAGAAAUAGUUUUCUGUACACAAGACUCGCCAAGGAAAUAAGGAGAAAGACCGGAAACAUGAUUAGUUCCCAGUAGUAGAGACAAAACAGAAAAUUUGUGAUCUCAAGAUCUGAUAGAAAAACUGUGGGCUGCUCCUCCUCUUCCCAUGACUGGUCUGCUCUUGCUCUGGGUGCUUCAGUGCUGUCUCUAGGCACCCAGAAGGUAGCUGCCCUGGCUGCCCCGUGCCUGCAGGACUCAGGAGCUCUAAGGAGGAGAUAUAUGGGCAGGGGAUGGAGAGUCCCGGGGCAUCUGUCGUGUUUUCCUUGCGGCAGCGCAAUCACCAGGAGCUGGGAGGAACCAGAGCCAGCUGUGGGUUACAUAGGCUUCUCUCAGGAUGCAUGGGCUCUUCUUCUUUUUUAUAUUCUUGCUUUUGAAUUUGGCUUUAGGAAGCUGUGAUGAUGGAAACUUCCAAAGAAUACUUCAACAGAUAGUGUGAGCUGUGGCCUGAACUGGUGGGAUGAGGAAGUAUAGGUGCCCUAAUUUUUGGUUUACUAUUUCUAUUUGAAGUCGUAUUAGUGUCUCUGAAAGCCUCGCUAGGGCAUACCUGCAUUUAUCUUUCCUUUAUUUGUCUGAAUAGCCUGUCCCAGACUGUGGCAUAAGGAGGUCUAGGGAUGCAUUUAAUGCAGCAGGGCUGUGAAGGAUCCUACUAAAUAAGGGAUGGGGGACUUAUUUGCAGUUUGUUGCAGGCUGUGCCUAGCUUGAGUUGCUCCCAGUGAACAAAGCAGCCUAUGUGAAAACACUUUCUAGAUAUGGGCUUUCAGUGCUCAAGUGCUUGCCCCAGUAGUUUUCCCUUUGCACGCUCUGUGAUUUGAUUUGAUGCCUGUUGCCCCUGGUAAGAAAGGCCAGCCUCUAUUACAUGUAUAUAUUUUUCACUUUGUUCUCACAGUGGGGAAGGCAGGCUUUGGAGCCUGCUUAAGCAUGAGGGGGAUUUGUAGGGGUGCUGCACCCAGCCGGCAGCAUUCAUCGCGAGCCCAAUGCAUUUUACUUGGACCAGGAAAAAGGAAGAGACUUUUUCACUUGAAACCAAUCAAGUGUUUCUCUGCUUCACAGCAUGAGCCCUUUCCCCCCACCCUCUGGGAAAGCCCUGAGUUUUAUCCCUGUCAUUCCUAGCAGGACCUGAGCUGGUUGCAGCCCCUCCAGCUCAUGCCCUGGGCCGUGAGGACACAGGCUUGUUGCCAGCUCCCCUGUGAGAGGGGACACAGGGAGAAGCACCCUUCUGGAAGUGCUGCCAGGGCUGGUGGCAUCACUGCUGUCCCUCAGGUACCCAGUGCUAGUCUGGGUGUACCUGAGACAGUCCAGAGAUGUUUUAGGAGCUUAUAGUCUUGAUUUAGACUUUGCUGGUGGUCUGCGGGGUAAUCCUUGGGAAACUUCUGGUGGAGAAGUACAGACCAAAGCUUUUUUUGAAGGAGAUUAUCAGGAAAUCACUGGGAUUUUUUUUUAAUUGACCCACAUGAAGAAACAUUUGCUGCAGAUCGCCAAAAGGUUACUGCCUUCCCCUUCUCCCUAACAACUUCCCUCUGCAUUUGUAGCCACUUGUGUGGAUUGCUUUCAUUAUAUAAAAUACAGUACAAUUUUCAACAUUUCAAUUCCUGGUUAUUUUAAGUGAGCGCGAAGCCAGCCCGUCAAUACAACCUGAGCCUUAAACAUGAGACAAUACUGAAAUACAAAGUUGUAUCUAUUUUACUGUACUGUUGGUAUUACAGAUUGAUAUAAGACUGUUGCAGAAGGGCAUAAUCUCUGAAUUUUGUAAGUUAGAAGUUUAGUCACUUGAGAAAAAGUAUAGCAAGUAGAUAAUCAUAUUUAAUCACCACCACAGCAAAGCAGGUGACCAGUGAAGAAGAAUGGAUUUUUAUUGAAAUUUUAGCAUGUGUAAAAAAAAAAAAUAAUCUAUGGCUGUCACAAAUGAAUGUUUCUUACAAACAGGUAAUUAUUCACAAUGAGUAGCAUAGUGAUUUUUCUCAUUUUCUUUGCUAAGUUGCUUCAAGACAUCAGUAGUGACAGAUUAUAGACAUACCCAUAAGCAAAGAGCACAAUGGAAGGCUCACCCUGUUCAGCAGGUGGGUGUUUCAGCUGUAUUAUAGCAGUGUCUUCUGGUUUUCGCAGUUUAAUAGGCAGACUCUUGGAGCCUUCCAUCACUCUUAAAAUACAUUUAUUUUCUCUGUGAGCUGUCAUUUCUGGAAGGGAUUGCUUCUAAGUUUUAAUUGUAAAUCUUAAUUGUUUGCACAAGAAUCUUGAGGGCUAAGGGCAAAUAUUGAACUACUAUGGACAGAAAAUUAAAAACACCCAACAGAAUGGGUGGAGAUUAUCUUCAAAUGAAAUAAAGGUGAUGGGAGUUUGGGGCUCACAGAUAUAACAGCAGCUGCUAGUAGGCAUCUGCUUUUUAUUUUGCAUGUUUUUCUUUUGAGAAACUGCCCUGCCUCUUUGCUUUGAUCUUGUGUCAGUUCAUAAGCAAUAAACAUAGGACUAGUUACCAUAUUGCAAUAAAAGGGGCUAGCUUGGAGGGCACUGAGGAACAUUUCAAAUAAAUUUACUGCAUUCUAACUCUUAAAACAA